rnacentral:rRNA from 1 species
GAUGAACGCUAGCGGGAGGCUUAACACAUGCAAGCCGAGGGGUAUAGUUCUUUCGGGAACUAGAGGCCGGCGCACGGGUGCGUAACGCGUAUGCAACUUGCCCUACCGAAAAGGAUAGCCCUUCGAAAGGAGGAUUAAUACUUUAUAACAGAUUUAAUGGCAUCAUUAGAUUUUGAAAGAUUUAUCGCAGUAGGAUAGGCAUGCGUAAGAUUAGUUAGUUGGUGAGGUAACGGCUCACCAAGACGAUGAUCUUUAGGGGGCCUGAGAGGGUGAACCCCCACACUGGUACUGAGACACGGACCAGACUCCUACGGGAGGCAGCAGUGAGGAAUAUUGAACAAUGGGUGGAAGCCUGAUCCAGCCAUCCCGCGUGUAGGAUGACGGCCUUAUGGGUUGUAAACUACUUUUAUCUGGGGAUAAACCUACUUACGUGUAAGUAGCUGAAGGUACCAGAAGAAUAAGCACCGGCUAACUCCGUG